ACGUAUGGGGCAAGAGUUGUUCGGAAUUAUUGGGCGUAGAGGGCGUCUAGGCGGGGGAUUAAGUUAGAUGAAAAAGCUGUGGGCUCAACCCAUAAACUACGUCUAAGACUGGUUCUAUUGAGUCAGGGAGAGGAGAGCGGAAUUCCAGGUGUCGCGGUGCAAUGCGUAGAUAUCUGGAAGACCACCAGUGGCGAAGGCGGCUCUCUGGACUAGGACUGCCGCCUAAGCGCGAAUGCGUGGGGAGCGAACAU
rnacentral:rRNA from 1 species